rnacentral:rRNA from 1 species
GCAGCAGGCGCGAAACCUUUACACUGCACGCCAGUGCGAUAAGGGGAUCCCAAGUGCGUAGGCAUAGAGCCUACGCUUUUGUCCACCCUAGGGUGGUGGACGAAUAAGGGCUGGGCAAGYCCGGUGCCAGCCGCCGCGGUAAUACCSGCAGCCCGAGUGAUGGCCGAUCUUAUUGGGCCUAAAGCGUCCGUAGCUGGCCGCACAAGUCCAUCGGGAAAUCCACCUGCUCAACAGGUGGGCGUCCGGUGGAAACUGUGUGGCUUGGGACCGGAAGGCGCGACGGGUACGUCCGGGGUAGGAGUGAAAUCCCGUAAUCCUGGACGGACCGCCGAUGGCGAAAGCACGUCGCGAAAACGGAUCCGACAGUGAGGGACGAAAGCUAGGGUCUCGAACCGGAUUAGAUACCCGGGUAGUCCUAGCCGUAAACACUGCCUGCUAGGUGUGGCACCCACUACGAGUGGGUGCUGUGCCGUAGGGAAGCCGCUUAGCAGGCCGCCUGGGAAGUACGUCCGCAAGGAUGAAACUUAAAGGAAUUGGCGGGGGAGCACUACAACCGGAGGAGCCUGCGGUUUAAUUGGAUUCAACGCCGG